rnacentral:rRNA from 1 species
AUACGGAGGGUGCGAGCGUUAUCCGGAUUCACUGGGUUUAAAGGGUGCGUAGGUGGGUCUGUAAGUCAGUGGUGAAAUCUCCGGGCUUAACCUGGAAACUGCCAUUGAUACUAUAGGUCUUGAAUUUUCUGGAGGUAAGCGGAAUAUGUCAUGUAGCGGUGAAAUGCUUAGAUAUGACAUAGAACACCAAUUGCGAAGGCAGCUUGCUACAGGAAUAUUGACACUGAGGCACGAAAGCGUGGGGAUCAAACAGGAUUAGAUACCCUGGUAGUCCACGCCCUAAACUAUGGAUACUCGACAUUUGUGAUACACAAUAAGUGUCUGAGCGAAAGCAUUAAGUAUCCCACCUGGGAAGUACGACCGCAAGGUUGAA